GUUUCCAAUCAAAAUAUUGCCAAAUAAAUUAAAUGGUUUCAAUUGAAAAAAAUAUUUAUUAUUUAAAAUGUAUAUUCUAGAAGACUUCUUAUCAAGUCUUCAAGACUUUUUGGUAAGCAGGAAGGAAUACGAUCAUAAUAUUAUUAGAAAACAUACAAAGAAAUUGGAUGAACUUGGUGAAAUCAGUUUUCCUUUAUGCAUUAAUAAAUGGUCUACUUUAAUUGACAAUAAAAAUGUUGGACAUGCUGGAAUAACUACUAUACUGCAGUACAAAUACCCGGAGAGUGAUAAAGACAGUUUACUAAAUAUAUUAAUUACUGAGAGCAGUAACUGGAAAAUACAAAUAAAACAAAUUAAAGUUAAGAAUAAUGAUGCCCUUAUUUUUUUUAAUAAAUCAUUUGAUUUGUUUAGGGUUGUUAUGCAAGAUGUUUUAGAACAUAGUGAUACAUAUGGUUUCAGCGAUAUUAUUAAAAAUAAUGUGAUUAUUAAAAUUUCUCCUAAUAUAGAAAAUAGUGAAAUAAAUCAAUUGGAUUUAACUAAUUUGAGAUUAAAACUGCUAAAAGAUAUAAGUACAAAUUUUAUAAUGCAAAAUACGUCUAAAUCAACAUCCAAUACCUGCAAUGUAUAUUUAGUUUUAAAUCCUGUGGAAAAAGAUAAAAAAACAAUAUUAUGUGGACCAGUAGUUAAUGAAAAUAGUGUAAAAAGUACAUAUAAGGCUUCCGAGUUGUAUAAGAAGAGAUCAGCUGAUAUGAGAAUGAUGGCACAGCAUAAGUAUGGAAUUCAAGUGAAACUUAACCCUAGUUGGGAAAAUUAUUUUGAUAAUUUGGGUACAGGAUCGGUAACAAUAGAAAUGUUAACUAACAAGCCCCAAAAAUCUAUAAAAAUUACUCCAAAUGAUUUACAGUCUGCCAACAAAGGAGCUGCGUUUAUAUUUUACAAUUGUGCAAGAUUAUCUGCAUUAUUUAAAGAAUUUGAUAAAAGAGUCUCAAUGCGAGAGUAUCCUGAACUACCAAAUUGUAAAGAUAUUGACUUUUCUCUGCUCAAGCAACCAGAAGAAUGGGAAUUAUUUUAUGUAUACAUUAUCCAGUUUCCAAUGGUUAUAAAAAGUUGUAUCAAAGAUAUUGAAAAGGGGAUCAUAAAUCCUCAACAUUUGAUAUAUUUUUUAUCAAACCUAUCUUCUACUUUCAGUAUUUACUAUCGAAGAGUUAGGAUAUUAACGAAUCCGAAGGAACACAUGUUUUCUAUCAUUCAUGCAAGAAUAUAUCUGCUGAAGGCAUUACAAUGUGUAUUCCAUAAUUCUUUGCGUUUGUUGAACGUUGAUCCAGUUCGAGAGAUGUAGGAAUAAAAAUAUGGAGACAACUAGGCCAAAAUGGUUUCAAAGUAAUUUUUUGAGCGAUGAAUAAGAAAAUACAAAUUACUGGAAACUCUACAAAAUUUAUUUAUUUGUUUACCAGAAUAAUGAAACAUUUCAUGCGGCAUCUUUUGACAUUGAAUCUAAAGUUUCUGUGUACUUAGUAGGGAUGUUUAUACAAAAAAAGUAACGUUAAUCUUGUGAAACAGACAAUCGAAUCUUAUGUCUUCAUGUUUGAUUUCUUUUGAUAGAAGAAGAUAGAAUGUAGAAAAUAUGUGUUUGAUAAAUCGUAGAUUGAGUCACAUAAUGGAAGAUUUCCACCGAUCCGACUGCACAUCUUAUCUUAACUAAAAAUCAAAAAAUAAUAAUUUAUUUUGGAAUAAUAUUAACUACAGUUUUUUGAUAAUUUAUACAAAAAAGAAAAGAAUAAAAUUAUAUUUAUUACAAUCCAUUUCUUGAAUUUCGUACUAACUUGAGGUUGUAUAUGUAUAUAUGGAUUUGGGGUCUCGUAUACACUGCGACCCAAAGGAUUUAUUGUGUCCCCAUUUCUUGGUGUGAUACUGGAGAACCCAGUGAGACCCCAUCAUUUGCUAGGUCUAGCGUCUUCAGGUCUUCUUUUAGUAUUCGUAUAUUGUUGUUACUUGUGCUGAUACAUUCAGCAGAUCUCCUCUUGCUAUAAUUUCCCAGGAGAAUCUUUUCCUGUCUCAACCCCUUAAGUUGUCCCAAUAAUUGGUUUUACUCCUAUCUACUUUCUUUUCCAGUGCUUUUCCAUUGUUCUGUAGCUAAUACCACAGAAGUGGUCCCAUGAAGGCUUCCAGCUCUAAUGGCUGCUUGACUAUCGGACAGGAUAAUGAUCCUGUUUGUCAUAAUUUCUUUCUAGAUUGAACUGAAAACAUUUUUCAGGCUUUCAGAGUGUUUGGUUCUGGACCCGUACACUCCUAUUCCAGUUCUGUCUGCUGUUUUUGAUCCAUCCCUAAACCAUUUUAUGGCAUUUCUGUUCAGUUUAUUAUUGAGAUAAAUUUUUUCUCAAAGCUGAACUUCAGAAUUCAGAGGCGGCUCUUGAAGAAGAGGAAAUAGUCCCAACAAUCAAAUAAGUCUAUAUUCUUUGUCAUCUCUGGAAGGUGACUAAAUCAAUCUACAAUCACUAAUAACAUUUUCAUGUUAAAUCAAAUGUAAACUACGAUUUGCUCUUUUUCAAUUCAUAGAAUAAAUCUUUUUGGAGCCAUAAAAAAGGUGAUGGUGUGUGCUUUCGGGAUGUCUUCCUCCGCAUACGUGGUUCGUUCAACUGCCGAUCUAUGGAACCUUCAGCAGUAACCACUCAGACGACCGUUAUGUUCAUAGUCGACGAGAAUUAGUCCCAGCCGGAAGUGGAUGCCUCUUAGGCUCUUCCACAAGUGCCUCCUGCACUGAAGUUUGCUCGUUCGUACUGAAAAUAGUCUCAGGGAACGGUUUAUCCGGUUUUUUGGUUGAUUUAUCAACCCCUCUGCUUUUUGAAGCUUAGCUUUACUACCCUUAGACUCCGGUGCAAGUCCUUUGCUGAUGUAGCAAAGUUACUAUCGGCAUCCUGUUCCACUAAACACACGCCUCAAUGGAUCUUCUCUGUCCUCCGGUUGGCCUGGAUCUGGUAUGCUCUUCUUAUGCCUUAUGACAUUGGAAGAGGAGGAUCUCUCGCUUUUUUUUCCCUCUCCAGUAAUUUAUUCUUAAGUUUUGUGGAAAGCUUUCGCUGUUUUUCGUUUUUUUUGUUCCCUGGUUAUGGUUGUUCCUACGAAUAGUUAUGAAAGAGUUUAUGCACUCUCCCCGAGCACUUAUUCUGGACCAGGGUUUGGAUACAGUGGUGUGCACAUUUUUAAAAAAUUCUGGGAGAGUUGAAGGGUGGUGAAGUGUGAAACCAAUACAAUAAUGGGACUGGAAGGCUAGAUAGUAGCUUUACGGAAAAGGAGGACUGUCGUUAAAAACUCACUAUCCUGGAAGCGAGAAUAAGUACUUAGAAAAAAUGAUGGACAGAUAUAGCAAAGCUACGACAGAAAAUGAAACAGUGGAAGAAUAAAAUGUGCUAUGAACAUCUUUCAGCCGUCCAAGUCGUCAGGAGUGGAUGAAAUCUUAGCUGUUCUUAAAAAGGACAAGAAGAAAUCUUGCAUCCAUAAUUUUGUAAUAAUUAGGAAUAUGUAUAAUAAAUAAAAAUUGUUUGGGUAAAAAUUAAACUGUUAUUUAAAAAUCAUGUUAAUUUAUUUAAUUAGUGAAUUUUCACUGUAUCCUGGUGUCAACAGAUGUAAUAUUGUAACCACUUUGCCACCCCUUUAAUGAAAAUCUCUUCUGUGAUAUUCUAUCCCCAUGAUGUGAUGAGCCAAAUGGUUUCUAGAAAUUUGAAGGCUGCUGCUGUGACCAGUGCCAAAAUGGCACAAGGCUAAAAGUGGUAUCCUUAAUAACCUUAGUUAAGGAAAGGUAAUCGUUAGGGGGUUACUAUAUUCCACACGAAAAUCGCUGUGGUUUAACGCCUGGGUGCUCCGUUGCCAAAGCAAGGAUUUCCGGAUUGUUGUGAAAACAAAGAUUAUGCCUGCUCAGCUUUCCAAGGAAAUUUGAUUCGAAAGGAAAAAUUUGAGGUACAGGAUACCAAUAGGGGUACCUUUGUAGCCCUCUUGGAAUUAAUGUACCUUUUAAACAUAAUUAUUAAUGUUGACCAUGCCACAAGUGUUGGAUUAAUAAGAUCUGUCAAGUUAGCCAACUUAUAGAAAAUAAAUUCUACAAGCUCACAAACUGCCUUAAAAUUCCCAGAAUUUCCACGGUUAGGUUAGGUUAAGUUAUCUUUAUACUCAAGAUAUUGGGCCCACCCUUAGAAUACGGCUUUCCUUUUUACAAUAACUAAAACUAAUUACGGGGAUAAUUGUCCUUAAGUUUGCCGUUCAAGAAAAUA